rnacentral:rRNA from 1 species
GUAGGUGGCAAGCGUUGUCCGGAAUUAUUGGGCGUAAAGCGCGCGCAGGUGGUUCUUUAAGUCUGAUGUGAAAGCCCCCGGGCUCAACCGGGGAGGGUCAUUGGAAACUGGGGAACUUGAGUGCAGGAGAGGAAAGUGGAAUUCCACGUGUAGCGGUGAAAUGCGUAGAUAUGUGGAGGAACACCAGUGGCGAAGGCGACUUUCUGGCCUGUAACUGACACUGAGGCGCGAAAGCGUGGGGAGCAAACAGGAUUAGAUACCCUGGUAGUCCACGCCGUAAACGAUGAGUGCUAAGUGUUGGGGGGUUUCCGCCCAUCAGUGCUGCAGCUAACGCAUUAAGCACUCCGCCUGGGGAGUACGGUCGCAAGACUG